ACGGGAGGCAGCAGUGGGGAAUAUUGCACACUGGGGGAAACCCUGAUGCAGCGACGCCGCGUGAGUGAAGAAGUAUUUCGGUAUGUAAAGCUCUAUCAGCAGGGAAGAAAAUGACGGUACCUGACUAAGAAGCCCCGGCUAACUACGUGCCAGCAGCUGCGGUAAUACGUAGGGGGCAAGCGUUAUCCGGAUUUAUUGGGUUUAAAGGGUGCGCAGGCGGGCGAUUAAGUCAGCGGUGAAAUCUCGGAGCUCAACUCUGAAACUGCCGUUGAUACUGGUUGUCUUGAGUCAUGUCGAGGAUGGCGGAAUGCAGCGUGUAGCGGUGAAAUGCUUAGAUAUGCUGCAGAACUCCGAUUGCGAAGGCAGCUGUCCAGAGAUGAACUGACGCUCAGGCACGAAAGCAUGGGUAUCAAACAGGAUUAGAUACCCUGGUA
rnacentral:rRNA from 1 species